UACGAAGGGGGCGAGCGUUGUUCGGAAUUACUGGGCGUAAAGGGCGCGCAGGCGGCUCUGAAAGUCAGAUGUGAAAGCCCCGGGCUUAACCUGGGAACUGCAUUUGAUACUCUGGAGCUUGAGUACGGGAGAGGAUAGUGGAAUUCCCAGUGUAGAGGUGAAAUUCGUAGAUAUUCGCAAGAACACCAGUGGCGAAGGCGGCUCACUGGCCCGGUACUGACGCUGAGGUGCGAAAGCGUGGGGAGCAAACAGG
rnacentral:rRNA from 1 species